GCAGGCGCGAAACCUUUACACUGCACGACAGUGCGAUAGGGGGAUCCCAAGUGCACAGGCAUAGCGCCUGUGCUUUUCGGUACCGUAAGGUGGUACCAGAAUAAGGGCUGGGCAAGACCGGUGCCAGCCGCCGCGGUAAUACCGGCAGCCCAAGUGAUGGCCGAUCUUAUUGGGCCUAAAGCGUCCGUAGCUGGCCGCGCAAGUCCAUCGGGAAAUCCACCUGYUYAACAGGUGGGCGCCCGGUAGAAACUGCGUGGCUUGGGACCGGAAGGCGCGACGGGUACGUCCGGGGUAGGAGUGAAAUCCCGUAAUCCUGGACGGACCGCCGAUGGCGAAAGCACGUCGCGAGAACGGAUCCGACAGUGAGGGACGAAAGCCAGGGUCUCGAACCGGAUUAGAUACCCGGGUAGUCCUGGCCGUAAACAAUGUCUGCUAGGUGUGGCUCCCACUACGAGUGGGUGCUGUGCCGUAGGGAAGCCGCUAAGCAGACCGCCUGGGAAGUACGUCCGCAAGGAUGAAACUUAAAGGAAUUGGCGGGGGAGCACUACAACCGGAGGAGCCUGCGGUUUAAUUGGAGUCAACGCCGG
rnacentral:rRNA from 1 species